GACGAACGCUGGCGGCGUGCUUAACACAUGCCAGUCGAACGGAAAGGCCCUGCUUUUGUGGGGUGCUCGAGUGGCGAACGGGUGAGUAACACGUGAGUAACCUGCCCUUGACUUUGGGAUAACUUCAGGAAACUGGGGCUAAUACCGGAUAGGAGCUCCUGCUGCAUGGUGGGGGUUGGAAAGUUUCGGCGGUUGGGGAUGGACUCGCGGCUUAUCAGCUUGUUGGUGGGGUAGUGGCUUACCAAGGCUUUGACGGGUAGCCGGCCUGAGAGGGUGACCGGCCACAUUGGGACUGAGAUACGGCCCAGACUCCUACGGGAGGCAGCAGUGGGGAAUAUUGCACAAUGGGCGGAAGCCUGAUGCAGCAACGCCGCGGGCGGGAUGACGGCCUUCGGGUUGUAAACCGCUUUCGCCUGUGACGAAGCGGGAGUGACGGUAAUGGGUAAAGAAGCACCGGCUAACUACGUG
rnacentral:rRNA from 1 species